rnacentral:ribozyme from 11 species
AGAGAAAGAAGAAGAAGAAGAAAAAGAAGGAGAAAAGAAGAGAAAGGAAGAGAGCCGAUCCGUGCACUUUUCACAGCGCUUUCUCCAACUUUUUUUUUUGCUUAAAUUUUGCCUCUUCAGAAAGUGUUUUGUGGAAUGAUCGCGAAAA